UGACUGGCUGGGAUCGCCUUCCACCGCUUAUUCCAUAGAGUUCGAUUUCGUACUCAGUGGCCUCUCUGAGGCCAGUUAUGUCCCUGCAGUCCAGGACAGACGGAAACCACCUGGAGUGGCAUCUGAAACUAGAAGGUUGUCAACUUCUGGUUCAGCUUCUAGAGGGAGAGAAGAUGGUGGAAGAAGGAGGAAACAGAGCAUUAAUCAGCAGUCCAUACAACCUUCUUCCUGGUGGACUAUCAGAGUGCAGACAUGCCUUGAUUUUCAGAGACAGAGUGUCCUGAGAUACUGGGAAAGAAAACCAUUCCAUGUUAAUAAGUCUAGUAGGGCGAGGACAGGGAAAACAUGGAGUUGACACAUUCAAUACAAGGCAAGUGUACUCUUGCAUCUGUGAGUUUUGUCUAAAAGUAACUGCAUAAAUCCACAUCUGGACUUAGCGUUGGCCCCUCCCACUCAUUAUUAAACAAGUUCAAAGCUAUAACUUGUUUACAUUUGCUCUUCUGUCUUCCAGUGGCUGAGUGCCCGCCGUCUGUGAGUGCUUUUCUUUUCAUUUUAAAAAGACAAAUAAACCAACUUUAACGAUUUGUGAAACUA